rnacentral:ncRNA from 2 species
AAUAUUUUUUCCCGUUCAGGUGCUUAAAGCAUUUAGCACAAUAGGGAACCACGUUGAAAUCGUGGACGGGCCCACCGCUGUAAUCGGGGACGAACGCUGCAGUAUACCACUGACCAAAUGGUUGGGAAGGUGUGGCGCAAGAUUGAUCCGUUAGUCAGAAGACCUGCCUGAACAUAGAGGGUAUA